rnacentral:rRNA from 1 species
UACAGAGGGUGCGAGCGUUGUCCGGAAUCACUGGGCGUAAAGGGCGCGUAGGCGGCCUGGUAAGCGUGCGGUGAAAGCCCGAGGCUCAACUUCGGGUCGGCCACUGAUACUGCGGGGCUCGAGUCGACUAGAGGCAGAUGGAAUUCCGGGUGUAGCGGUGGAAUGCGUAGAGAUCCGGAAGAACACCGGUGGCGAAGGCGGCUCACUGGCUCAUUACUGACGCUCAGGCGCGAUAGCGUGGGGAUCAAACAGG